GCCUGAUGACCCGUAAGGUGCUUCCCACCCUCACGAUGCUGUUGUCUGCGGAGCCUCCCCAAAGUCAGGAUAUGUCCUGCCCUGCCUCUUGGGCACGGCUGGGGAAACCCACCACCGCCACCAUGUCUGAUGAGGAAGUAGAACACGCUGAGGAAGAGUACGAAGAGGAAG